rnacentral:rRNA from 1 species
GAUCAGGCUCAGAUUGAACGCUGGCGGCAGGCCUAACACAUGCAAGUCGAGCGGUAGCACAGAGAGCUUGCUCUCGGGUGACGAGCGGCGGACGGGUGAGUAAUGUCUGGGAAACUGCCUGAUGGAGGGGGAUAACUACUGGAAACGGUAGCUAAUACCGCAUAACGUCGCAAGACCAAAGUGGGGGACCUUCGGGCCUCAUGCCAUCAGAUGUGCCCAGAUGGGAUUAG